UUCAAAAUGCACUACUCCCCCGCAACCGUUGAUUCGGACGCAGAGUGCAGCAGCCACCAGCAAAAGGCAAAUGCGAAUAAAGAAAAGAAAAAGUGUGUGUGUGUGUGUGUGUGUUUAUAUGCAUGGCAUGGCAGUAGCUCCAACUCAAACGCCAACUUCAGAAGGAACCUGCCCCAAGUGGAUGCUCCUUGCUCUUUCCUGCACUUGUUUUUAUUAAUUCCACAAACUACCGUUAAGCCUCGCCCGCUGCAACUCUCAAGUUUCAUAACAUUUCGCUUGGAAGAAUUCGAUUUAGCUAAGAAUUUUAGUUUUGAAAACUUUGUCACUUUUGUGCGUGCGUUCCUUUUAAACAUGAUCUGCUGGGCUCUGAGCCGGUGUGUUGAUGAGCUCUGAAGUCGUCAGUCACGUCACUCACAUGCAAAUGGAUCCAAACACUUGUGGAGGCGAGGCUCCACCAAAAGUUUGUUUUGUUGUUUGAGCCGACAUAACACAUAACACAAACGGAGGAUGUCGAAAAUCCUUAUUUUAUUGAUAAAAUGAUAUAAUUGAUGGAUGUAAAUAUUAGAGAUUAGAGUGGCAAAAAGUCGAUAGCAAAAACGUGCAACGAGAUCGAUAACGAGUCUUUUUUUGUUUUGUUUUCAUUUUUUUCUUCCACCGCAUUCGCGAAUUCGCACACACACGUAACUUCACUUUACAUUCACAUUUACUUUACUUUACAUUUUACAUACAUACACGUCAGUUUGCGACAUGACCUUAAUUUGACCCCGCGUUGCAACAAGCCAAAAUGACCUUGAUUUGACCUGCGUCUUAAUUAAAUUUUUUUAAUUUAAUCAAACCAAUAUCACAUAUUCUUAUAAAACACGCUUUGUUUAUACUUUUUUGGACAACAAACAAGAUAGCAUUGUCAGCAUACAUUUUACUCGAAUUACGCUAGAUUUUUUAAAAUUAUUAUUAAUUAAUUAAUUAAUUAUAAAUUAAUAUAUUUGAUCGAUUAAUGCUAGCCACCUUGUCUUGCUCAGACUCGUUGUAUAUUUUCAUAUUCUUUCCAAUAUUUUUUAGAAGUGGUCUGUAUAGAAUUCCUGAUCUGAUCCGUUUGAUAUCAAAUCGCAAUUUUUUCACAGUUUUUUACAUAACUGCUGACAACUGAUAAGCGUUAUGUUAUGGCAGGCAGGGGAAGGUAGAAACCACCUCCAAGAGUGAGAGAGAGAGAGAGGAAGAGAAGGAGAGACCAAAAGAGAGAAGCGCUUGACAGUUAUGCUUUGAGCUGCUUCUGCUAAUCGCUGAAGGAGAGGGGAUGGGGUGCUAAGGGGAUUUGUUGUGACUUGAUUGUCGCCGCAUAUUGAUUUUUUGUUGCUCCACUUUUAGCUCUGCUUUCUGCUCUCUGACCCAGUAGCGCCGGGCAGCAUCAAAUCAGCUUUAUCAGCGUAAUUUCCGCAUCUCUCACAUCCCAAAUCCAAAUCAAAAUCCCAUUGAGAUUCGCCUUGGCAUGUUUGAAGAUGCACUAAACACACUAUAUAUGCACAUGAUCCUAUACGUCUAUAUAUAUUCAUUUCAUAGAUGUUUUUCUAUUUAUACCGCUACUACACAUAUAUAUCGCUCGGAAUUAUGGCUGGCGACAGGCGCUAACAAGUUUUGUUCGCUCGAAAAUAUCUAUAUGUAUGUAUGUAAUUCUCGAAAAAUCUUUUCACACGAAAAUGAAAAAUUCCUUGUUUCGGACCAAAAGACGCCCACUAUAUAUUCCACAAAUUUCCACGAUCCAUAAAAUCUGCAUGAGUUUAUGCCCGCAUUAAUCAUCGGCCUCUGCAGCUGUGUGUGUCUGGGUUUUUGCCCAUGGGGGACUUAAUAGGGAUCUCCAGCAGAAGCAGCCACGCCACCGCUGAGGUGCCUGUACCACUGCAUCGCUACCAGCAGAUGCCGCAGGGGCUGAAGAUGACUAUGAGGCUGUUGUUGUCGCGCUACAAUUUCAUUUCAUUUCACAUUUACCCGGCUAUUUUUAGUGGUCUGUCUGCUCUUUCGGCACCGGCGCACACACAGAUACAUUCGCCGUCUAGCAGAUACACACCGCAUCCAUGUGUUCCCGCAGAACUUGUUUCUCGCCUUGCACUCGCCAAUUUGUGCGUUGGUGUCGCCUCGCCGGUCGCCCAUCCCUCAUUCCCCCACUGCACCCCAUGUGGCAUAUCUGAGUAUUGGCAAACGGGUUUCGGGGCUGGGAUGUGUGGGCAUGGGAAUGGGCGGAGCAGGUCUGGGCCACUCAAGGCCUCGGGUCUGUCAUUCACAUAAUUUCCGACACCAUUCAUGGAUGAGAUGAGCCUUUCCCCAAUCUGAUAGAUGAUAGCCCCCAUCGUGCCCCAAUGAGCACUCGCUCAACCUAGACCUAGACUCAGAAGGCGACCCCUUCACGCUCUCGCUUUUGACGGGUCGUUUAUCAGCUUUAUUGUGCUACUGUCAUACGUACUACCGCGCAUGAUAAAAGAGCGCAGACACUCGCAGAGUCUGUUGGAAGAGAGAGCGAGCUUCCGGCAAGAGCGAAGCUUAAGCUUUCUACACUGGAAACAAUUUGAAGGAUUUUCCCGCAAUUAGCUGUCAAAGAACGUGCUAAUUUAUAUACGAGUAUUUCUAAGUUUACGUUUAAGCAUAUUUUUAAGGAAAGUGUCGCGUCGCCAUUCCGUUUGACAGGUUUCAACAUUCUCAACAGUUGUGGAGGUCUAAAUUUAGACCAAGUGUUGUUUAUUUUAUUUUAUCUAAAUCGCCCGUUUUAUGGGGCGGAGUGAAAUUCCUCUUGAUCGUUUUCUCUUAUUGUCUUGUGAAUCUUUUUUGUCAUUGUGGUUUUUUUUCGUAUCUGGUCACAUCCGGUAAGUCAGAAGUUAUUAAAAACCAUUCUCGUUUCGGCCCAGAGUAAAUGAUUUCAUUUUUAUUUUAGGCACUACGAAUCAUGAGAAAAGAAAGCAUAAGCUCCACACUUAUACACAUACACACACCGCAUACACACAGACACACACGCACACACAAGCAAACACAUAAGUUGUAUAUAGAAGAAGAUAUAGAUGGAGGGCCAGGCAGAAACCACGAUCGAACCUCAUCUCCAGCUGCUGCUCAAAAGCAAACGAAUGCACUGUUAUCCAACCGUAUCCGUAUCCGCAUCUGCAUCCUCAUCCGUGUCCGCAUCCGUACCCGUACCCGUACGGAUGUGUGUCCGUAGCAGCGAGAAGUGCGCUUCUAAAUCCAAUGAAUACAGAACUCUCUAAUCUAAUCUGACACUUAACCCCACUAAAGUUAGUCCAACCAAAUGUACAAAGAUUAUAUAUACUACAUCACUGAUAUAUCUACAAGUUAUCUCUGAUUUUGUAGCACUUGAUACCAAACAAUAAUGUUCGAAAUUCAACUUGUCAAUAAUCAAAAUUGGAAAUAAAACUAUAAUUAAUUUGUAUCUCUAUUUUAA